rnacentral:lncRNA from 1 species
CAGCAAAUCAUUAUAUUAGAAUGAUUUCUGAAGAUCAUGUGACACUGAAGACUGGAGUAAUGAUGCUGAAAAUACAGCUGCGCAUCACAGAAAUAAAUUACAUUUUAGUAUAUAUUCACAUAGAAAACAGCUUGUUUUAAAUUGCAAUAAUAUUUCACAAUUUUUACUGUAUUUUUGAUCAAAUAAAUGCAGCCUUUUGAACAGUUGUACAUAUAUGUAUCUAUUUAUUUAUUAUUAUUAGGCUGAUGUUGUUGGUAAAAGCAUCCCAAUAGCAAUUUAAUACUGUUAAUGUAAUUUACAGCAAUAAUGACAAAUAUAGACAGAUUUAAUGGAGAAGUAAUGGUGCAGCUGUUUUUUCCUAAAAUCGAUCCAAAUUCAAAUCAGUCCUCACGCUUCUCUCUUUGCAGACAUUGAAACACAGCACAUCGUCAUCAAUGUGAGCUUUGUUUCUGAACUCUCUCCAGCUGAAGGACGAGGAAGCGCUGUGUUCAUUUAGAGGUUGUUUAGAGACCUGUGCUCAAAUAUAGAGGCUAUAGGAAAUCAAUUGAAGGUGUGUCUUUCGUUCUGAGCUGUGAUGCUCUUCGUGGAUUGUAAGAUGGUGGAUAUUCUUCGCGGUCGGAGGAGGUUGCGGGUGUCCGUCUGUAAGCCGCCCUGCUCUUUCUGGUUUCUGCUGCUGUUUGGGGUCGGAGGACUCGUUCUCUUCAUCCACCUGCAGGAUCUGUCCGAUAUGGUGCUUCAGCAGGCUCCAGAUCAUGAUCCUGGCCAAACAGGCCAGAAACAUUUGGUUUAA